UAAUCAGAAGGAUUAGUCACAAAAAUUAAAUAAAAAUAAAAAGUGGAGGUAAACGUAAAUAAAUUCAUACCGUGACUAAUCGCAAUCCUGAGGAAGCAUCGCUCAGUGACGAUUUUAUUUCACACAGAUGAAAUGUUACAGUGUGCACACAUUCAAAGAGCCGUAACUGGUUGCAACCUCUGUUAUCAUUGCUCAGCGUGCCACCGAUCAUUGCCGACAUAUAUUAAUGAAGAACACAGACAAGCAAUUAUAAAUUGUGAAAUUGUGCAAAAUCAUAAAACAGUUUUUUUUUGUUAGUUGCCAGCAGUCCACAUUGGGUACCUACCCUACGUUCUUGAGAGAAAAAAAAAAGUAUAUUUGGUAAUAAUAGCAUUCAGGCGAAGGUACAUAAGAUGUUUGCAAGUGCAAAGUCUACUUCCCUGUACAGAAAUGAUCACCGUGCACCACGUACACGCCGUAGGGUGCACCUAUUUCCAGAAGGCCAUACCCACAAGGCCUCCAGACAUGGCGCACCCAUAACGCAUCAUGGCCGGUGACCCGAGAGAGACCAGGAGUACUCAAUUUAAGCUGUGAGAAUACACUACCCACAUUACAUACACAUUAGCCUCACGCAUUGUCAUAAAACUACAAUAGUAUGCUAAGUACUAUAAGUU